rnacentral:rRNA from 1 species
CCUACGGUGAGCAGCAGUGGGGGAUAUUGCACAAUGGGGGAAACCCUGAUGCAGCGACGCCGCGUGAGUGAAGCAGUAUUUCGGUAUGUAAAGCUCUAUCAGCAGGGAAGAAAAUGACAGUCCCUUACCCCGAAGCCCCGUCUACCUACGGGCCAGCAGCCGCGGUAAUACGUAGGGGGCAAGCGUUAUCCGGAUUUGCUGGGUGUAAAGGGAGCGUCGACGGUUUUGGAAGUCUGGAGGGAAAGCCCGGGGCCCAACCCCGGGACCGCUUUGGAAACUGUGUAACUGGAGUACAGGAGGGGCAGGCGGAAUUCCUGGUGUAGCGGUGAAAUGCGUAGAGAUCAGGAGGAACACCGGUGGCGAAGGCGGCAUGCUGGACUGAAACUGACGUUGAGGCUCGAAAGCGUGGGGAGCAAACAGGAUUAGAUACCCCUGUAGUC